AGAGUUUGAUCAUGGCUCAGGAUGAACGCUAGCUACAGGCUUAACACAUGCAAGUCGAGGGGAAACGACAUCGAAAGCUUGCUUUUGAUGGGCGUCGACCGGCGCACGGGUGAGUAACGCGUAUCCAACCUGCCCAUCACUUGGGGGAUAACCUUGCGAAAGUAAGACUAAUACCCAAUGAUAUCUCUAGAAGGCAUCUGAAAGAGAUUAAAAGAUUUAUCGGUGAUGGAUGGGGAUGCGUCUGAUUAGCUUGUUGGCGGGGUAACGCCACAAAGCAACGAUCAGUAGGGGUUCUGAGAGGAAGGUCCCCCANAUUGGAACUGAGACACGGUCCAAACUCCUACGGGAGGCA
rnacentral:rRNA from 1 species